rnacentral:rRNA from 1 species
AUUGAACGCUGGCGGCAGGCCUUACACAUGCAAGUCGAGCGGAGCGGCGGCCGGGUGAGUAAUGUCUAGGAAUCUGCCUGGUAGUGGGGGAUAACUUCUCGAAAAGGGCGCUAAUACCGCAUCAUAUCAGAUGAGCCGAGGUCGGAUUAGCUAGUUGGUGGGGUAAAGGCCUACCAAGGCGACGAUCCGUAACUGGUCUGCGAGGAGGCGCAGUCACACUGGAACUGAGACACGGGCCAGACGCCUCCGGGAGGCAGCAGUGGGGAAUAUUGGACAAUGGGCGAAAGCCUGAUCCAGCCAUGCCGCGUGUGUGAAGAAGGUCGUCGGAUUGUAAAGCACUUUAAGUUGGGAGGCGUUACCAGCAGAAUAAGCACCGGCUAACUUCGUGCCAGCAGCCGCGGUAAUUC